CGUUGGACGCAACAUAGGGAGUGACUGAAUUAAACUUGCUGGCAAUAGGCUGGUUAAGGUGAUGAGUCAGAGGUGGUGCUCGCAGGAUGCCUCUUGAGAAAGAAGCGACCUGAACUAUCUUACCAGAUGGGACUCAUGCAACGCAGUAAAAAUUACUAAGAGUAGCAAUGCCCUGCGUUUGUAAGCAUACUCAAAUCUUACCUCCCACUUU
rnacentral:ncRNA from 1 species